rnacentral:tRNA from 1 species
GCGUCCGUAGCUCAAUUGGAUAGAGCAUCAGACUUCGGAUCUGAGGGUUAGGGGUUCGACUCCCUUCGGGCGUGCCA